AGUGAACGCUGGCGGUAGGCCUAACACAUGCAAGUCGAACGGCAGCACAGUAAGAGCUUGCUCUUACGGGUGGCGAGUGGCGGACGGGUGAGGAAUACAUCGGAAUCUACUUUUUCGUGGGGGUUAACGUAGGGAAACUUACGCUAAUACCGCAUACGACCUACGGGUGAAAGCAGGGGAUCUUCGGACCUUGCGCGAUUGAAUGAGCCGAUGUCGGAUUAGCUAGUUGGCGGGGUAAAGGCCCACCAAGGCGACGAUCCGUAGCUGGUCUGAGAGGAUGAUCAGCCACACUGGAACUGAGACACGGUCCAGACUCCUACGGGAGGCAGCAGUGGGGAAUAUUGGACAAUGGGCGCAAGCCUGAUCCAGCCAUACCGCGUGGGUGAAGAAGGCCUUCGGGUUGUAAAGCCCUUUUGUUGGGAAAGAAAAGCAGCAGGUUAAUACCCCGCUGUUCUGACGGUACCCAAAGAAUAAGCACCGGCUAACUUC
rnacentral:rRNA from 1 species